rnacentral:rRNA from 1 species
CUACGGGCGGCUGCAGUGGGGAAUAUUGCACAAUGGGGGGAACCCUGAUGCAGCAAUGCCGCGUGAAGGAUGAAGUAUUUCGGUAUGUAAACUUCUUUCAGUAGGGAAGAAACAAAUGACGGUACCUACAGAAGAAGCCCCGGCUAACUAUGUGCCAGCAGCCGCGGUAAUACAUAGGGGGCAAGCGUUAUCCGGAUUUACUGGGUGUAAAGGGUGCGUAGGCGGCAUGAUAAGUCAGGUGUGAAAACCCGGGGCUCAACUCCGGGAAUGCACUUGAAACUAUUAAGCUAGAGUACAGGAGAGGUAAGCGGAAUUCCUAGUGUAGCGGUGAAAUGCGUAGAUAUUAGGAAGAACACCAGUGGCGAAGGCGGCUUACUGGACUGAAACUGACGCUGAGGCACGAAAGCGUGGGGAGCGAACAGGAUUAGAUACCCCAGUAGUC